rnacentral:rRNA from 1 species
AUUGAACGCUGGCGGCAGGCCUAACACAUGCAAGUCGAGCGAGCGGCGGACGGGUGAGUAAUGUCUGGGAAACUGCCUGAGGGAGGGGGAGAACUACUGGAAACGGUAGCUAAUACCGCAUACCAUCGGAUGUGCCCAGAUGGGAUUAGCUUGUUGGUGGGGUAACGGCUCACCAAGGCGACGAUCCCUAGCUGGGCUGAGAGGAUGACCAGCCACACUGGAACUGAGACACGGUCCAGACUCCUACGGGAGGCAGCAGUGGGGAAUAUUGCACAAUGGGCGCAAGCCUGAUGCAGCCAUGCCGCGUGUAUGAAGAAGGCCUUCGGGUUGUAAAGUACUUUCAGCGGGGAGGCGUUACCCGCAGAAGAAGCACCGGCUAACUCCGUGCCAGCAGCCGCGGUAAUAC